AAUGAUUUUGACAUUCCUGCCUCAUAAGAUCAAAAAAAAAAAGUCUAUUUGUAUCAACAAAAUGCGCUUGCAGUUCAGAUUUGCUCCUUUCCUGAAUUUUCUGGAAGCCUCAAAUGGACCCCGAGCCACACGUUGGACACUCCUGAUCCAAAUAUUUCCCCGUUCUCAGUCAUUCUGCUGGCAUGUUCUCACUUCCUCCCUGUGGUCUGCCUGUGUCCUCCAAAACCGCCUUUUCAAGAAGAAUGCUCUGUUCUUCUUUCUGCUCAGUCACGUGAAAUGUAACGUUAAGAACUCAGAGAGGUUUGAGUCGUGCGUUUCUCUAGCUGCAUGGUUGACUGGUGGUGGGAUAAAGUCAGACAUGUGACAGAGAGUAAGUGGAGCUGCUUUCACUGAGGACUACUGUUGGUGUCAGUGUGACAAUAAGAGCGAGCUCUGUGCUGCCGACAUACAGACAAUAACAGGUCAGAAGACAUGGGCAGGUUCUCAAGGGUAAAGUUGAGUAAUUUCAAAUAUGAAUCUCAUUAGUUCAUUAUAAUCAAGUCUUGUACAUGAAAAAAGCAAAGAAUUAAAUUUCUAUGGAAUUUUGAGGUGUUUUGUUUGACAAUUUGUUUUAAAUUCAUUGUGAUCGUUACUUAAUACUGUCAGUAACAAUCUGACGGUAUUAACACUAACAUGGGGUUAUAUGAAAAUGAGCUAUAAUGUUAGUUUUAAUGCUACUUUCAGUGUUUGGGUUGUCACAUUGACACUACACAAACAUGGAGUCUUCGUUCUCAUACACUAGGUUUCUUAAAAACCUAAAUGCCUGAAACAAAGUAUUUUUUUGAAUACAUUAUUAUUAUAACAAAAGACUGGUUUUUCCAUCAUUUGUAUUACAGUCUACUUGCGUAAGAAUAAUAAAAAUUUCUGCAGUAAUUCUUGCCCCAUCUGCUUUACAUUUUCCAAAGACAAAAAAAUACACAAUGGUAGCAAAAAGGCUUUUCCCCCCUCCUUUAUUUCAAAACUUCUGAACAAAAAUAUAAAUUUUAUACAAUUAUCCAGAAAAAGAUUGCAUUUAAAUAUAUAUAUAUAAAAUUACACCUGGAAGCUGACAGCAGGCAGCAGCUUUAAACUAAGGCAAUAAUCAAUAUAAAAUAUUUUAUUUUUGAGUUCAGUUUCUGUUUAUAACAGCCCUGGUUUCCUUAAGCACAUAAUCACCAGAUCUCUACAAGCCUGCUUGCAGCGUGAAUACAGAGGCUCAUUAUAUUCUU